UCAAGUUAUUAAGGGUGCAGGGCGGAUGCCUUGGCACUAGGAGCCGAUGAAGGACGUGAUAAGCUGCGAUAAGCUUCGGGGAGUUGCACGUAAACUUUGAUCCGAAGAUUUCCGAAUGAGGAAACUCACUUAGAGUAAUGUCUAAGUAUCAUUAAGUGAAUACAUAGCUUAAUGAGGGGAACUCAGGGAACUGAAACAUCUAAGUACCUGAAGGAAGAGAAAGAAAUUCGAUUCCGUAAGUAGCGGCGAGCGAACGCGGAUUAGCCCAAACCAAUAAAGUUUUCUUUAUUGGGGUUGCGGACAUAUCAUAACGAAGAGGUAUCGUAAUUGAAGAGGUUUGGAAAGACCCACCACAGAAGGUAAUAGUCCUGUAUGUUAAACGAGAAGACUUCAGAUAUGAUCCAGAGUACCACGGGACACGUGAAACCCUGUGGGAAGCAGGAGGGACCACCCUCCAAGGCUAAAUACUACCUAGUGACCGAUAGCGUAUAGUACCGUGAGGGAAAGGUGAAAAGAACCCCGGGAGGGGAGUGAAAUAGAACCUGAAACCCUGCACUUACAAGCUGUGGAAGCACAUUUCUUGUGUGACCGCGUACUUUUUGUAGAACGGGCCAACGAGUUACGUUAAGUAGCAAGGUUAAGCACUUAAGGUGUGGAGCCGUAGCGAAAGCGAGUUUUAACUGAGCGUUCAGUUACUUGACGUAGACCCGAAACCGGGCGACCUACCCAUGAGCAGGAUGAAGCGAAAGUAAAAUUUCGUGGAGGUCCGAACCCACGAGCGUUGAAAAGCUCGGGGAUGACUUGUGGGUAGCGGUGAAAUUCCAAUCGAGCCCGGAGAUAGCUGGUUCUCCCCGAAAUAGCUUUAGGGCUAGCCUCAAGGUGAGAGAUACGGAGGUAGAGCACUGAAUGUCCUAGGGGGUAUUGCACCUACCGAAGACUAUCAAACUCCGAAUGCCGUCAUCUUAUACUUGGGAGUCAGACUGUGGGUGAUAAGAUUCAUAGUCGAAAGGGCAACAGCCCAGAUCGUCAGCUAAGGUCCCUAAAUGUAAGUUAAGUGGUAAAGGAUGUGGGAUUGCACAGACAACCAGGAUGUUGGCUUAGAAGCAGCCACUCAUUCAAAGAGUGCGUAAUAGCUCACUGGUCGAGUGAUCCUGCGCCGAAGAUUUCCGGGGCUAAAACUUACUACCGAAGCUACGGCAUCAGUAAUGAUGGGUAGGGGAGCUUCCCAUACGGGUUGAAGCAUGACCGUAAGGACAUGUGGACAGUAUGGGAGUGAGAAUGUUGGCAUGAGUAGCGAGAUGUGGGUGAGAAUCCCACAGGCCGUAAACCCAAGGUUUCCAGGGGAAGGUUCGUCCGCCCUGGGUUAGUCGGGACCUAAGCUGAGGCCGAAAGGCGUAGGUGAUGGACAACAGGUUGAUAUUCCUGUACUACCGAUAACCGUUUGAGAGAAGGGAUGACACAGUAGGAUAAGCUAAGCACACUGUUGGUUAUGUGUGCCCAAGCAUUGAGGCAGUCAAAGUAGGCAAAUCCGCUUUGAUAAUGCUGGGAUGUGAUGGGGAGCGAAAUUUAGUAGCGAAGUAGCUGAUUUCACACUGUCAAGAAAAGUCUCUAUCGAGGUUAAAGGUACCCGUACCGCAAACCGACACAGGUGGGUGAGGAGAGUAUCCUAAGGCCAGCGAGAGAACUGUUGUUAAGGAACUCGGCAAAAUGACCCCGUAACUUAGGGAUAAGGGGUGCCACCAUCAGGUGGCCGCAGAGAAUAGGCCCAAGCGACUGUUUACCAAAAACAUAGGUUUCUGCUAAGUCGCAAGACGAUGUAUAGGAGCUGACGCCUGCCCGGUGCUGGAAGGUUAAGGGGAUCUGUUAGAGCAAUCGAAGCAGUGAACUUAAGCCCCAGUAAACGGCGGCCGUAACUAUAACGGUCCUAAGGUAGCGAAAUUCCUUGUCGGGUAAGUUCCGACCCGCACGAAAGGCGUAACGAUUUGGGCACUGUCUCAACAACAGACUCGGUGAAAUUGUAAUUCCGGUGAAGAUGCCGGAUACCUGCGACAGGACGGAAAGACCCCAUGGAGCUUUACUGUAGCUUGACAUUGGGUCUUGGUACUACAUGUACAGGAUAGGUGGGAGGCUUUGAAACCAGGACGCCAGUUUUGGCGGAGCCAUCCUUGGGAUACCACCCUUGUAGUACUGGGACUCUAACCAUAGGCCAUGAAUCUGGUCUUGGGACACUGUCAGGUGGGCAGUUUGACUGGGGCGGUCGCCUCCCAAAAGGUAACGGAGGCGCUCAAAGGUUCUCUCAGUACGGUCGGAAAUCGUACGUAGAGUGUAAAGGCAAAAGGAGCUUGAUUGCAAGACAUACAGGUCGAGCAAGGAUGAAAAUCGGACUUAGUGAUCCGGUGGUUCUGCGUGGAAGGGCCAUCGCUCAACGGAUAAAAGCUACCCUGGGGAUAACAGGCUUAUCUCCCCCAAGAGUCCACAUCGACGGGGAGGUUUGGCACCUCGAUGUCGGCUCAUCACAUCCUGGGGCUGUAGUAGGUCCCAAGGGUUGGGCUGUUCGCCCAUUAAAGUGGUACGCGAGCUGGGUUCAGAACGUCGUGAGACAGUUCGGUCCCUAUCCGUCGCAGGCGUAGGAAAUUUGAGAAGACCUGUCCUUAGUACGAGAGGACCGGGAUGGACGUACCUCUGGUGUACCAGUUGUUCUGCCAAGGGCAUGGCUGGGUAGCUAUGUACGGAAUGGAUAAGCGCUGAAAGCAUCUAAGCGCGAAGCCAACUUCAAGAUAAGAUUUCCCACCG
rnacentral:rRNA from 1 species